rnacentral:rRNA from 1 species
AUGGUUUUAUAUGAUGCUAUGGUUUGUAUGUACCUUGUUGCCAGAAGCCUUCUGAAUGAAUCCCUUCUCUUGCAGGGAUUUCACCGCUUCAUAGAGGUAUUCUUGCACAGGGGUGAACUUCAUGCCAAGGUCCUUCAGAGGCUGGUUGGUGUACUUGUAACCCUUCUUUGGCGGAUUUACCUCGUCCUUACAUCUGUACAGGCGAAGCAAAGCCAUCGCUUUCGUUUUACGAAAGUUACAGGUAACUACCAACAACUUGUGGUCUAUCAAGGGAACAAUUGCAAGCAAGAUUGUGUAAAAACAUUAGCACAUUCGUGGAAUGAUUCUAUCAACGGCACAAUUGCAAGCAAGAUUGUGUAA